rnacentral:lncRNA from 1 species
UAAGCUGAUUCUGUUUCUAGACUCUCUUAACCAUUGUGUACUAUACGAUGUUUUUUUUUUUUUUCAAACAAACUUUUUGUUCCAAUCUGGAAGCAAGAAAAAUCCUGUCUUCUGAGACUUUGGGGUAGUAGUUUGACAAAUGAAGAAAUCAGACCACAUACGCCAGCCGCACUCAUUUAGGAGUGCUUGUGUGCCAACUCCUCUGCUCGUGUGGUGAAGGUGUUAUGUCGCCUAGCAUGAGCAGAGUGCUGCACACGCCUGCCAUGCAGCUGUAAACAGUGGGGGCUCGCCGGGCUCAGGGUGCAUGCAUCUGUGCACAGCCUGCUUUCAUGUUUCCACUCCACACUCAAAGCAGAAGUACCAGGCGGUGAGGAAGAGAAAGCUGAGAACGUACCCAUGAGCUGAUGUCCAUCUCGAGCUCCACUGCAUGGGUGUUUCCACUCUCCAGCACUCGUAUACGUUUCCUACAUCAUCUUCCGUUAUGACUUUAUAGCACAUGGCUCCACAUUUCCCCUAACAACUGGGCUGAGAUUAUUGAUCAGCUUUAUGAGCAAGCAUGAAGAAAGUGAGGAUGGACAUAUAAAUUUAAUACUGUGUUCUGGAAAUACUUUCUUGUGCAUUGGUGGAUGUGCUAUUGAGGCAAAUAAGUCUUUUUUUUUUCCUCUUUUUUUUUUUUUUUUUAAUAAAGUUUUGUAGAGUAACCUGAUGCAGAGGCAGACGGGCUUCUUUGAAGCAUUACUGCAACAUUUGCUAACAGAGAGCAAGGAUAAAACAAUAGGAACACCCCAGCAAGAUGAAUUUGUUCUGUUUAUGCUUCAGCAUGUGCUCAUGUGGCAUUUGACAAGUACAGGAGACUUCAAAGAUGAUCAGCAAAUGGAAUCCAUGAAGAUUGGCCUCUACCCUCUCUCCAGUGAAGUGCUUGCUGUGUAAGCCACUGCAGUUUGUCUCUCUCUCCCCUGAAUGACGUGUGACUCUUUCAGUGAGGUCCCUGUGAUUCUCAUCCGAUACUGAAACUGCUGAGAGCAGCUGGAGGAGCAAGGGCAUUUUGAUUGCCCCAUGCUGUAGAUCGAAGCCUACUUGUUAAUUACAGUGUAUUAACUGAAACCAUGUAUGCAUUUUUGUUAGUUUUGCUAAACUCAACAGUUGUGCCAAUGAUAGAUCUCUCUCGAAACAGGAA